AGUAAGGUAAGCUAAACUUUAAGCUACCAGGUUCAUACCCUGUUUAUAGAGCUAAUAAACUCUCCUUCCUA
rnacentral:tRNA from 1 species